rnacentral:rRNA from 1 species
ACGCUGGCGGCGUGCUUAACACAUGCAAGUCGAACGAUGAAGCCUAGCUUGCUAGGUGGAUUAGUGGCGAACGGGUGAGUAAUACGUGAGUAACCUACCUUUAACUCUGGGAUAAGCCUGGGAAACUGGGUCUAAUACCGGAUACGACCAAUCUCCGCAUGGGGUGUUGGUGGAAAGCGUUAUGUAGUGGUUAUAGAUGGGCUCACGGCCUAUCAGCUUGUUGGUGAGGUAACGGCUCACCAAGGCGACGACGGGUAGCCGGCCUGAGAGGGUGACCGGCCACACUGGGACUGAGACACGGCCCAGACUCCUACGGGAGGCAGCAGUGGGGAAUAUUGCACAAUGGGCGCAAGCCUGAUGCAGCGACGCCGCGUGAGGGAUGACGGCCUUCGGGUUGUAAACCUCUGUUAGCAGGGAAGAAGAGAAAUUGACGGUACCUGCAGAGAAAGCGCCGGCUAACUACGUGCCAGCAGCCGCGGUAAUACGUAGGGCGCGAGCGUUGUCCGGAAUUAUUGGGCGUAAAGAGCUUGUAGGCGGUUCGUCGCGUCUGCUGUGAAAGGCCGGGGCUUAACCCCGUGUAUUGCAGUGGGUACGGGCAGACUAGAGUGCAGUAGGGGAGACUGGAAUUCCUAGUGUAGCGGUGGAAUGCGCAGAUAUCAGGAGGAACACCGAUGGCGAAGGCAGGUCUCUGGGCUGUAACUGACGCUGUGAAGCGAAAGCAUGGGGAGCGAACAGGAUUAGAUACCCUGGUAGUCCAUGCCGUAAACGUUGGGCACUAGGUGUGGGGGACAUUCCACGUUUUCCGCGCCGUAGCUAACGCAUUAAGUGCCCCGCCUGGGGAGUACGGCCGCAAGGCUAAAACUCAAAGAAAUUGACGGGGGCCCGCACAAGCGGCGGAGCAUGCGGAUUAAUUCGAUGCA